rnacentral:rRNA from 1 species
ACCCGAAAGGGUGGCUAAUACCGCAUAAGACCUGAGGGUGAAAGCCGGGGACCGCAAGGCCUGGCGCGAACGGAGCGGCCGAUGACUGAUUAGCUGGUUGGCGGGGUAAAGGCCCACCAAGGCGACGAUCAGUAGCUGGUCUGAGAGGACGACCAGCCACACUGGAACUGAGACACGGUCCAGACUCCUACGGGAGGCAGCAGUGGGGAAUUUUGGACAAUGGGGGCAACCCUGAUCCAGCCAUGCCGCGUGCGGGAAGAAGGCCUUCGGGUUGUAAACCGCUUUUGUCAGGGACGAAAAGGUGCGGGUUAAGAGCUAGCACUGAUGACGGUACCUGAAGAAUAAGCACCGGCUAACUACGUGCCAGCAGCCGCGGUAAUACGUAGGGUGCGAGCGUUAAUCGGAAUUACUGGGCGUAAAGCGUGCGC